UCGACAACCGCUUAUCAAAAAUUGGCGCUGUUGCCGGGGAUUUGAUCUAACUAACGUAUUUUCCUUUUAUGACCAGGGCUGAUCGUAAAGAAGCUCUUCUUUAUGAUCCAGAAAUUGAACGCACUGCCAAGACCUUACAAGCAUGGCUACGGUAAGUAUGUCUUUUCUCUCUUCUCAAAUUUCUGAACUAACCUCUAUUGUGAGAAAUUAUGGUCAAGCUCGACAAGUUCAACAACUUCAACAAGCACAUGCAUUUGAAGGAUUCUAUGGACAGUCAAGACAUAAUCCCUACCUUGACACA
rnacentral:lncRNA from 1 species